AUAUUGUUAGCUGCUAUCAAGUCAACUUAUGGUUACAGAAAUUACAACUAUAGCCAAACAAGAUUUCUCCAUCUAAACUUACACAGUUAACUAUUUGCAGUUAAGUUUUGUCAUUCUGUUUUUGUCCACUGGUUUCCUGCAAUCAUCAGCCAGAAUUCAAGCUUAUAUUGGAAUAUAAAGUCUACACACCCGUAUUACUCUGUUUGAAAUAAUGAAUAAUUCAAAGAUAAUAAAUAUAUUAUCUUUCCAUGAGAUGGGCACAGAAUACAUGUUGGUACCAUACUGCUAUCUUCAACAUACAACUCUGAACUUCACUUAAUAUUUGGACAGAGAAGAAUGAUAGGACAGUAGGAAUACUUAUUUUUUCUCUCAAGACACCGUGUGUGAUUUACAGAGGCUUUUCUUUGCUCCUUUGAGUUUUCUCUGCUUACACUGCCAGUGAUAAACAUGGUAAGAGAACUAUAGGACCAUAAGUAGUUGGUCUAGUCUUUUUAGAAAUAAGGGUCAUCCAAUCGU